rnacentral:rRNA from 1 species
GUCCACGCCGUAAACGAUGGAUACUUGGUGUUGGAGGUAUUGACCCCUUCAGUGCCGAAGCUAACGCGUUAAGUAUCCCGCCUGGGAAGUACGGUCGCAAGAUUAAAACUCAAAGAAAUUGACGGGGGCCCGCACAAGCGGUGGAGCAUGUGGUUCAAUUCGAUGCAACGCGAAGAACCUUACCUAGAUUUGACAUGUACUGGAAGACUACCAGAGAUGGUGUCGCCUUCGGGCCGGUACACAGGUGCUGCAUGGCUGUCGU